rnacentral:rRNA from 1 species
GACGAACGCUGGCGGCGUGCUUAACACAUGCAAGUCGAGCGAAGUAUUCAAGAUAGAUUUCUUCGGAUUGAAGUCUUGAAUAUCUUAGCGGCGAACGGGUGAGUAACGCGUGAGAAACCUGCCUUUCACAAAGGGAUAGCCUCGGGAAACUGGGAUUAAUACCUUAUGAUACUUACAUUUCACAUGAGAAGUAAGUUAAAGCGCAAAGCGGUGAAAGAUGGUCUCGCGUCCCAUUAGUUAGUUGGUAAGGUAAUGGCUUACCAAGGCGAUGACGGGUAGGGGACCUGAGAGGGUGGCCCCCCACAAUGGAACUGAAACNCGGUCCAUACACCUACGGGUGCAGCAGUAGGG